rnacentral:rRNA from 1 species
AGAGUUUGAUCAUGGCUCAGGACGAGCGCUGGCGGCGUGCUUAACACAUGCAAGUCGAACGCUGAACCGGUUUCGGCCGGGGAUGAGUGGCGAACGGGUGAGUAACACGUGGGUAAUCUGCCCUGUACUCUGGGAUAAGCCUGGGAAACUGGGUCUAAUACCGGAUACGACCACUACAGGCAUCUGUGGUGGUGGAAAGUUCCGGCGGUAUGGGAUGAACCCGCGGCCUAUCAGCUUGUUGGUGGGGUAAUGGCCUACCAAGGCGACGACGGGUAGCCGGCCUGAGAGGGUGACCGGCCACACUGGGACUGAGACACGGCCCAGACUCCUACGGGAGGCAGCAGUGGGGAAUAUUGCACAAUGGGCGCAAGCCUGAUGCAGCGACGCCGCGUGAGGGAUGACGGCCUUCGGGUUGUAAACCUCUUUCGCCAGGGACGAAGCGCAAGUGACGGUACCUGGAUAAGAAGCACCGGCUAACUACGUGCCAGCCGCCGCGGUAAUAC